rnacentral:rRNA from 1 species
UACAGGGGGGGCAAGCGUUGUUCGGAAUUACUGGGCGUAAAGGGUCUGUAGGUGGCUAACUAAGUCAGACGUGAAAUCCCUCAGCUUAACUGGGGAACUGCGUCUGAUACUGGAUGGCUCGAGUGUGGGAGAGGAAUGCGGAAUUCCAGGUGUAGCGGUGAAAUGCGUAGAUAUCUGGAGGAACACCAAUGGCGAAGGCAGCUCGCUGGGACGUUACUGACGCUGAGACGCGAAAGCGUGGGGAGCAAACAGG